rnacentral:tRNA from 1 species
CGGAUGUAGCCAAGUGGAUCAAGGCAGUGGAUUGUSARUCC